rnacentral:misc_RNA from 1 species
CCUUUCUUUUCUUUUCUUUUCUUCUUCUUUCUCUUCCUUUUUUCACCAUUUUCCUCGUUAUCACCCUCAGUCACUAAAUCCUCUUCAUUUUUCUCCUCACUUCUUUUGUUCUUUUCGCCUCUGUCAUCAUUUAUACUCUUUUGUGCACUAUCAAAUCCUUGCAAAGAGAGGGUCUUCCUUCUUUUCUCCCUCUUUGACAAUUUGGGCCUAUGUUUUGCUGCUUCUAUAAGCUCUUGAAGCCGCGAAUUACCUUCUUGGUCUAUUGAUGAUUCCUUGCCAUUCGGGUUUGGCCCACCAGAUACUUUGGCCGCUAAAGAUUCUGCCUUUGCUUCUCUCAGCUUCUGCUUUAGCUUCUUGUUUGAUAACACCAUUACUGCUCUGCAGGCAAAAACCCUAACUCAGGGUUUAUAGUUCUGCUUCUGCUUUUAUAAAUUGCGACCGUUUAUAAGAUUAGAAAACGGUGUCGUGUCAGCCACUAAUAAAAAGUGGAUAGCACUAGAGGAUCGUUAAACAGAUAACAUUUCCUCUGCUCACCAUGGCAACGUGUACCUUCCUCUUCAGCAAUUCCCAAAUAAGAGGAUGGAGGCCUUUAGUACACAAGAAACACAAAUUCAAUAUUUCUGAAAGGUUCAUGUGUCCUACAAGAGGAAACCCAAGUGAGGGAUAUCAGGUGUCACGGUCUAGCAUGCAUUGCUCUGCAAUCAACAUUGAACAGUUGCCAACAUAUGCAACCAUUGCAGACAGGCCAUUAAAUGGUGUUGAGGAUGUCAGAAGUAUCAAUUUCAAUGUACUAGAAGCAUCCAAAGCUACCUCAAAAUUCAUUCAGAGUUUGACACUGGCAGAUUUAGACACUGCCACAGCAAAGCUAGCAAUUGGUAUUUUGGGGCCAUUUCUCUCAGCAUUUGGUUUUCUGUUUAUUUUGAGAAUAGUAAUGUCCUGGUACCCAAAGCUACCUGUUGGAAAAUUUCCAUAUAUAAUAGCUUAUGCUCCCACAGAACCAAUCCUCAUUCCAACCCGUAAGGUGAUUCCACCGGUGGGAGGAGUGGAUGUGACUCCUGUGGUCUGGUUUGGAUUGAUAAGUUUCCUAAGUGAAAUACUGGUUGGCCCUCAAGGACUUCUCGUUCUUCUUUCUCAACAAGUUAACUGAUGUGCUUACUUUGAGAGGAGGAAGAAAGUACAUUGAUCAUUUUCAUUUUCGUAAAGUGAGAUUUCAUGGUUGUAAAUGUAAACAUGUGAAUUGUGAUUACUGAUUUCCUUUAUAUAACCAUCAUAUACUGAUGGUUCUUAACCGAAUAAAACGAUCAACAACUAGAAAUACUAAUCAUUUGUCUGCACGUUGCGCGAGUUUUUAAAUUUCUCAAAUAAUGAUUAUAUAAAAUUCAAGAGUCACUCUUUUGUUUUUUUAGUAUUUUUAAUUGUUCAUAUUUAUAGAUUCUACACAAUU